rnacentral:rRNA from 1 species
UACGUAGGGUGCAAGCGUUGUCCGGAAUUAUUGGGCGUAAAGAGCUCGUAGGCGGUUUGUCGCGUCGGCUGUGAAAGCCCGGAGCUCAACUCCGGGUCUGCAGUCGAUACGGGCAGACUUGAGUGUUGCAGGGGAGACUGGAAUUCCUGGUGUAGCGGUGAAAUGCGCAGAUAUCAGGAGGAACACCAAUGGCGAAGGCAGCUCGCUGGGACGGUACUGACGCUGAGACGCGAAAGCGUGGGAGCAACAGGAU